UUUUUCUCUUCUGCUCUAAGUGACAUUUGAGAGAGUGCAGGGUAAGAGCACUGACCUGAGUAGGAAGGGUGAAGCGCUUGAGUGGCGGGAGCCUGAGUUGUGGGAGCUCACUGCCCACUUGGCUACUUGGGCAAACCCCUCGUUUCCCAGGCUGCUUUAUUUCAGGAAAACGAUUCCUGGGUGAGAUUAAGUUCCAAGACACCUUCCAUAUUGCAAGUGAUCGAUUUUGUAUCUUUUGUUUUGUUUUGCUUUUUAGACAGGGUUUCUUUGUAUAGUCCUGGCUGUCCUGGAACUUACUCCAUAGACCAGGCUGGCCUCCAACCCACAGAGUUACCUCUGCCUCCUGAGCAAUGGGAUUAAAGGCAUGCUUGCCACUGUCCAGUGAGUCUGUGAGAUAUUUAUUAGAACCCGUGUUAUUAGUUUACUGGUUCUUAGUCAGUGUCAAAGUCAAGAGCACUCUAUGAUACACCCUGUGUUGACCGGCCAUUGCUUGGAGAGCUGGUUAGUAGUCUCACUCAGGUGCUGAUUAAACACUUGAGGGAGAAACAUAAUAAAAUGUUGAAAUUCUUUUCACCCAGAUGAGAUUACAGAAGCCAAAUCAGGGACUGCUACUCCACAGAGAUCGGGAUCCAUCAGCAACUAUCGAUCUUGCCAAAGGAGCGACUCCGACGCCGAGGCUCAAGGAAAGCCCUCAGAAGUCUCUCUUACCUCAUCCGUGACCUCCCUCGACUCCUCUCCUGUUGACGUAGCUCCAAGACCAGGAAGUCACACGAUAGAAUUUUUUGAAAUGUGUGCAAAUCUAAUUAAAAUUCUUGCACAGUAAACCUAAAACUUUGCUUAUUUCUUUGAUGCAAUAAGCAUGCUUACUAAAUAAUAGCCAAAUACUUCCACUUACCGAGUUAUAUGUGUGUGUAUAUAUAACUAAGGACUGGCCUUCUGCAAUGCAGCUUGCACAGGGCCUGGAAAAUGAUCGAUUGUUUAAGCCUAAUGUGCAGAAAGGAAUCAGGAUCAUUCUGUUAGCCCUUAUUCAGUAGGCACACAUCGCAUAGUAACACACAGUGGACUAUAGGCCUCAGGCUCACUCGAUUUUUGGCCAUUUGAAUUUGCUGUAACAGGUCUCUGUUGACCAUAAAUUUACCAUAAAGCCUUUACAUAUCAGUACAUGUUGAUGUGUUUUAUAUUAGCUUCAUGAAUUUAUUGAGUGAGUUUGCCUAGAAUCCCCACAGACCUUCCUA
rnacentral:lncRNA from 1 species